AACCCAUAUUGAGGACACUUCCUUAGGAGCUCCUUGAACCUCUUCCACGACUCAAAUAGAGACUCCAAUUUUGUUUGCACGAAGUAGGAUAUUUCAUUCCUCAGCUU